AUUUGCCAUGGGAAAAAGGGAGAAAGCCAGGAGGAUGAGUUUUCUCAUAAUGAAGCUUGUACCGUCCUUCAGGGGUUUUAAAAUAGGUUUUGAGACCUUGCGAUUGUGAAUUCGCAUUCGUCGUGGAAGUCGACGACGACGAAGACGCCGUAGUCGCCCCCGUGUUCGACAUCAAUCCAACACUAUUGCUGUUAAAGCUACUGUUAUAGCCGUUGUUCAUCAUCUUCAUCGCCGAAAUUUCAUCCAACAAAACUCAAUCAUCAAAAAGGACGAAAGGAAAAUCAAAGACGAAAAAAACACAAUCCCACAACCGUUGAUUGUCAGUUGUGAGGCGAAAAUUGAGGGAGAGAAGAGGUAUGCGGCGGCGUUAGCGGCGGCGAUAAGGGUCCAGCGGCGGCGGGAUUGAG
rnacentral:misc_RNA from 1 species